UACGGGGGGGGCAAGCGUUGUUCGGAAUUACUGGGCGUAAAGGGCUCGUAGGCGGCCAACUAAGUCAGACGUGAAAUCCCUCGGCUUAACCGGGGAACUGCGUCUGAUACUGGAUGGCUUGAAUUCGGGAGAGGGAUGCGGAAUUCCAGGUGUAGCGGUGAAAUGCGUAGAUAUCUGGAGGAACACCGGUGGCGAAGGCGGCACUCUGGGCCGGUACUGACGCUGAGGAGCGAAAGCGUGGGGAGCGAACAGG
rnacentral:rRNA from 1 species